UACGGGGGGGGCAAGCGUUGUUCGGAAUUACUGGGCGUAAAGGGCGCGUAGGCGGUUCGCUAAGUUGGAUGUGAAAACUCUGGGCUUAACCCAGAGCCUGCAUCCAAAACUGGCAAACUUGAGUACUGGAGGGGAAAGCGGAAUUCCUGGUGUAGCGGUGAAAUGCGUAGAUAUCAGGAGGAACACCGGUGGCGAAGGCGGUUCUCUGGGCAUGAUCUGACGCUGAGGAGCGAAAGUGUGGGGAGCGAACAGG
rnacentral:rRNA from 1 species